GAGGAAUAUUGGUCAAUGGACGGAAGUCUGAACCAGCCAAGUAGCGUGCAGGAUGACGGCCCUAUGGGUUGUAAACUGCUUUUGUAUGGGGAUAAAGUCAAUCACGUGUGAUUGUUUGCAGGUACCAUACGAAUAAGGACCGGCUAAUUCCGUGCCAGCAGCCGCGGUAAUACGGAAGGUUCGGGCGUUAUCCGGAUUUAUUGGGUUUAAAGGGAGCGUAGGCCGUGGAUUAAGCGUGUUGUGAAAUGUAGAUGCUCAACAUCUGACUUGCAGCGCGAACUGGUUUACUUGAGUGUGCACAACGUAGGCGGAAUUCGUCGUGUAGCGGUGAAAUGCUUAGAUAUGACGAAGAACUCCGAUUGCGAAGGCAGCUUACGGGAGCACAACUGACGCUGAAGCUCGAAGGUGCGGGUAUCAAACAGGAUUAGAUACCCUGGUAGUCCGCACAGUAAACGAUGGAUGCCCGUUGUUAGUUCACUUAAGAAUUAGCGACCAAGCGAAAGCAUUAAGCAUCCCACCUGGGGAGUACGCCGGCAACGGUG
rnacentral:rRNA from 1 species